UACAGAGGGUGCAAGCGUUGUCCGGAAUCACUGGGCGUAAAGGGCGCGUAGGCGGUUCUUUAAGUCUCUCGUGAAAUCCCUCGGCUUAACUGAGGACGUGCGGGAGAUACUGAAGGGCUUGAGUCCGGAAGAGGGUGGUGGAAUUCCCAGUGUAGCGGUGAAAUGCGUAGAUAUUGGGAGGAACACCGGUGGCGAAGGCGGCCACCUGGGCCGGAACUGACGCUGAGGCGCGAAAGCGUGGGGAGCAAACGGG
rnacentral:rRNA from 1 species